UGCUCUUGGUAGUACAUGUUACUGAAAAGAUGUUGGUCUUUGCUAAGUGUGUGUUGAAAAAUAUUUUCAGGUUCUGAAGCCCACCUGCACAUUAGUGCCUGUUUAAAAAGUAUGUCAUAACAAGAGUUAACAGUAAUUAACGACAUGUUUGGUUGUGGUCAUAAACUACCACCCCACCCUCUUGGUAGAACACAUUGAAAAUGUGUUGGUAUUGCUUCCAUUAUCAGGGUGACUCCAUUAAAAAAUAACAACACACACAAGGUAGACAUUUAAUGACAAUCAUUUACAGAGUCACUCUUAUAACCAGCGUUACUCAGGCUACUAGAUCAUCAUUUUCACUUUCAGGCAUUUGGUGUGACACCUGUUUGAUCUUAGUGGGUCAGUCUUCUUUGUGCCAUCUCUUUUUGGUUCUUCCACGACUCAUUCUCUGUGGCAUACAUUUCAUUGACACUGUAGCUAUCUUUCCAAAUGAUAAUUCCUUAUAUAUCUUAGGAAUGACAUACUUACUUCUUUGUUUUUUGUUACAGGUCCAGCACUAUGACAGUUUUAUAAUUUGAUUUCCAGGAUAGUUAGAACAUAGUGCUUGCACUACUAUCUUGUCACAAGUGACAAUUUUUGAUUGUGUAUGUUCAACUCCUUACUUUUGUCUUAUCAGUAGUGAUUUGACAAUUAAUUCAACUAUAAAAUCCAAAGAGAUGUCACUUCUAAAGGCAAGUCCUGUAUCAAGAAAGUCAGUAUAACAGACAAAUCAAUCCAUAGUAAACUUUUAGACUGAUGCCACACCUCACACACUGGCUGAAAAAUUCAUUGAAUACUGACUUUGCCAUCAAUCUGCUGUAUUAAGAAACAAAAAUGCUUCACUGAUGUAAGAUCCAGUGAUUUUAAGUCUACUGGUCCUGAUUUUCGUAUAAUCACUUGUUUCACUAUUGGAGAGGAAGGGUGCUUUAUAAUUAUUACAGAGCUGCUCACUGAUGUUUGUCUGUUGCUUGUGCCAUAUAGCUACUGCUGUGUCAUCCAAACAAGAAACAGCCAGGGAAAAAGCACCACAGGCACAAAGAUGUGAGCGGGUGCCAGUGCCAUAGAGACUCACCACUUGUGUGAGUUCUGCCAUUGCCACAGGCGGCGCUGAGGAUGAAGACAGGCGGCGCUGAGGAUGAAGAUUUCGACUUUGCCUUGGCCAAUUACUGGCAGAGUACAAUUUGCCAAUGACCAUAUGACAACGGACAGAAGCCUACUUGGAAGAUAGAAGCACAGCUUUGGCCCACUUCGUUAUAGACCAUCGUCCGGGGCUGACUUAGACAGGGAAUGUCAUUUGUUGUAAAUUGCAUUUCCUAUGUACUGCAAAGUUUACCUACAAUUAUUUGCACUUAGCCACUGAGGGUCAUUUUGUGUUGUAAUUUUGUGUUGUAUUACAGGCAGUGUUGCAGACUUAAUUAUUCAACAAGUCGCAAAGAUAAAUAAAGUUUUUAACUCA